UACGUAGGGGGCAAGCGUUGUCCGGAUUUAUUGGGCGUAAAGAGCGUGUAGGCGGCCACACAGGUCUGCUGUGAAAACUCGAGGCUCAACCUCGAGCUGUCGGUGGAAACCGUGUGGCUAGAGUCCGGAAGAGGAGAGUGGAAUUCCCGGUGUAGCGGUGAAAUGCGCAGAUAUCGGGAAGAACACCCGUGGCGAAGGCGGCUCUCUGGGACGGUACUGACGCUGAGACGCGAAGGCGUGGGGAGCGAACAGG
rnacentral:rRNA from 1 species